AGAGUUUGGUGGGUAGGAGAUGGCGGUGGGCAGGGGAGUUUGGUGGGUAGGGCGUGUAUAACUUUUGUCAGUAUUUUUGGGGUGAUCAUAUUCUGUGUCAGUAUGCUCUCAACCAUGGUAAGGCAUUCUAAAUUUGAAAAAUAACGGGGUAAUUGGAAAUAGGAGGAGUGAAAAAUAUAUUUCAAUAAAAUAAGAGUGUUAAGGGGAAAGCUCUUAAUUUCUAUCUUUCUUUCUCAGCCAGCCAUCUGUAUUUAAUGCAAAUAGUUAUUUUUUUGUGUAAAUUAAUAUCAUGGACUUUUGUGGAAAAUAAAAUCCGAAAUGGAUGGUUUGCUAGUUCUGCAGUUUGUCAUGUAAAAAAAGAACGUUUUAUUCAAGCAAGACUGUGUGCGAGUGUGUAUUGUCAUAUCACAAGCUGUCCCCAUCUCGUCCUCUAUUUUGACAAGUUGUGAAUGUAAGACAUUUGGUUUUUGCAGAAGUUCUAAGAUGUUUCAUUUGGAUAUACUGUGUGAUUCAUUUUGUCAAUCACAUUUCCCAUAAAUCACAACUCAAAUAAAUUGCUGACACUCAGUAAUGGCGAGUGGGAAUGACGAAACGUCCUUCAUAAAAAAAGAGUGAGUGAGCCAAAGAGAAAUCAGUGAGGAAGUGUAACUUGUAAUUGAAAGGAGGGAUAACUUUAGUACAUUGUUUAUUUUGUAUUCAAGUGACAUUAUCUAUAGAGACUAAGGGAGAUAAUUUUAAUAGACAUAUUUGGUUUGUGUGUCGGAGACUUGCUACACAAGUAACUUUCUGGAGUUUUUGCUGAACAGGCUUAUAGGCUUUCCAGGGAAAUAGAAAGUUCUAGACCCAGAAAGAAAACGAGAGAAUCAUGGAGAUGCAAGAAACCCCCCGAGAGAAGGAAAGAGUUGUGGAAGUGGACGAGAGUCAGAUAAUUCUGGAGACCUCAGUCGAGGAAGCUGAAUCUACAGUCUAUUCCAAACUGAAAAGUCCAUCGGAGGACAUUUAUGCUGAAGCUUCUCCUGGCCAGCCCUGUGCCAAAGACAGACCAGACCUGCAGGUCCUGGGGAACGUUGGUCUGUACCGCGCAGUGUGUUUACUACUGUCUGUCAUCUGUCUGGUUCUACUGCUCGUCAUCAUCAUCCUCUGUGUCAAAUUUCCAUCCCAGCCUCAGGUCUGUCAUGGAACUGAAAAAGGGAUUGAGGCUAAAGAGAAAGGGAGUGUGACUGAAAAAGGGAUUGAGGCUAAAGAGGAGAGGUUCCAGUCCACUGAGGUGUGCAGCCUGCAGACAUGCCAAGCACAAUACCUCCAACAACAGAGCCAGGUCCCUGCCUGCCACAUGUGUGAUGAAGGCUGGCUGCACUUUGAGAGCUCCUGCUACUUCCUCUCCAGAGACAGAAUGAACUGGGACGAGAGCAGGGACGAGUGUAAGAAGAGAGGGGCAGAUCUGGCUGUCAUAACAAACAAAACAGUGCAGGUGGUUCUACUACAAUUGUUACUCCUCUCUACCUCUUGUUUCUCUUCUUUGUAUAACAGUGACCAUACAAUGAUGAUAGCAACGCACCAGUGAUUGUAUGACAACCACACAUAACAGUUGGAUUGACGAAGGUUACUAAUAGUCCAAUAAAAACGGUGUAUUCUCCCAGACCUUUCUAACGAUGAAGGGGAACCUGAUGUACUGGAUCGGCCUGAGACAGAGAACCAGGAACUGGGUUUGGGUCAACAACAAUGCACUGGGACAGAGUUACUGGUCAGGAUCCAACAGACAAGGGGAUUGUGGGUUACUGACAGGAAGGGAUCCUCCUGAGAGAAGCUGGAGCUCCACAUCAUGUGACCAGUACAGCUUCUACAUCUGCCAGAGGGGACACUAAAGGACAGACUUCACCAUCUGCCAGCAGUCACCAACCCUGAUCCUGGAGAGCUAUACGAUGUACAGGCUUUUGUUCCAGCCCAGCAGACACAUGAUUUAGCUAGUCAAUGAAUCACCUUGAUUAGCUGAAUCAUGUAAGUGUUGUACACCAUGUAGGUCAGCAGGGCUAGUGGCCACUGCCAUAUUCCAACUAAGAAACCUGGCAAUACGGAUUCUCUUUAGAGUUCUAUCAUUCAGCCCUAUUCCAUAGCCUUUUAUCCCAUGAUUACACAUCUCUAUCAACAGCCUUUUAAACCAUUAUUAUACACUGUAUGACAUACGUCUAUGUUAUUAUUCAUUCAUUAGACAUCCAGGUAUGACCAUUGAUGGUAAAUAUAAUCACAUUACAGUUAGUUAUGCCUUGUGAAGAUCAAUCAAGUCGGCCUUACAGUUUCAGUUAGAAUUUCCACUAAUGUUAAAGAUUAACACGCUAUAUUGCACUUAUUUGCUUGUUUUGCUGAUAUGUUUUCUUAAUGCCUUUGAAUGUGAUAAUGACCUACAUGAUUAUGUGCAUUAACCAAUCAUUAUGUUUUAAGUAUUGAUUCACAAUCCUGAAAGAAUCAAAAGUUUAAUAUAACUUGUCCCUGUAAUAAAGAAUCCGUUAUUAUA